GAUGAACGCUGGCGGCGUGCCUAAUACAUGCAAGUCGAGCGAACGGACGAGAAGCUUGCUUCUCUGAUGUUAGCGGCGGACGGGUGAGUAACACGUGGAUAACCUACCUAUAAAACUGGGAUAACUUCGGGAAACCGGAGCUAAUACCGGAUAAUAUUUUGAACCGCAUGGUUGAAAAGUGAAGGUCGGUCUUGCUGGCACUUAUAGAUGUAUCCGCGCUGCAUUAGCUAGUUGGUACGGUAAAGGCUUACCAAGGCAACGAUGCGUAGCCGACCUGAGAGGGUGGUCGGCCAGACUGGAUCGGAGACACGGUCCAGACUCCUACGCUAGGCAGCAGUGCGGUAUCUUCCGCACUGGGCGAAAGCCUGACGGAACAACGCCACGCGAGUUGUGAGGGUCUUCGGAUCGUAAAACUCUGUUCUUAGGUAAGAACAUAUGUGUAAGUAACUGUGCUCAUCUUGACGGUACCUAAUCAGAAAGCCACGGCUAACUACGUG
rnacentral:rRNA from 1 species